ACGAACGCUGGCGGCGUGCUUAACACAUGCAAGUCGAACGGAAAGGCCCUGCUUUUGUGGGGUGCUCGAGUGGCGAACGGGUGAGUAACACGUGAGUAACCUGCCCUUGACUUUGGGAUAACUUCAGGAAACUGGGGCUAAUACCGGAUAGGAGCUCCUGCUGCAUGGUGGGGGUUGGAAAGUUUCGGCGGUUAGGGAUGGACUCGCGGCUUAUCAGCUUGUUGGUGGGGCAGUGGCUUACCAAGGCUUUGACGGGUAGCCGGCCUGAGAGGGUGACCGGCCACAUUGGGACUGAGAUACGGCCCAGACUCCUACGGGAGGCAGCAGUGGGGAAUAUUGCACAAUGGGCGGAAGCCUGAUGCAGCAACGCCGCGUGCGGGAUGACGGCCUUCGGGUUGUAAACCGCUUUCGCCUGUGACGAAGCGUGAGUGACGGUAAUGGGUAAAGAAGCACCGGCUAACUACGUG
rnacentral:rRNA from 1 species